rnacentral:rRNA from 1 species
UACGAAGGGGGCUAGCGUUGCUCGGAAUCACUGGACGUAAAGGGUGCGUAGGCGGGUCUUUAAGUCAGGGGUGAAAUCCUGGAGCUCAACUCCAGAACUGCCUUUGAUACUGAGGAUCUUGAGUUCGGGAGAGGUGAGUGGAACUGCGAGUGUAGAGGUGAAAUUCGUAGAUAUUCGCAAGAACACCAGUGGCGAAGGCGGCUCACUGGCCCGAUACUGACGCUGAGGCACGAAAGCGUGGGGAUCAAACAGG